rnacentral:sRNA from 1 species
CCACUAUUUUUAUAGUCAAGCCCAUACGGACAGGCGGGGCAGCUGCCGA